GGAAGUAGGCGACCGCGAUUCCCCCCAACUUGCCCAGGGAGCGGGUGUCCAAGCUGGCUGCGCCGGAGACGAGGCUGCACACGACCAGCGGCAGGAUGAUCAUUUUCAGCAUCCGGAGGAGCAUCUCACCCGGGAAGGCAAACACAGAGCAGCGUGGGAAGCUUGAUCCGCGUGUGCUCAACUACAGCGUGCCUUGGACAACGAAGGCUGGAGCCGGCGUGGGGGAUGACGCCUGGCGGUGAUAGCCAAUCGUGUUGAGGGAAACAUGCGCACUAGUAUGCAGACCUUAGCCCGCACGCACAUGAUGCAAGAUGAUGAAGUAUUGCUCGAUUGAUUCUUCUUAUUUGGUUAACAUGCAAUAAUGCUGAUUAUUGAGAGCACCGUUUUAAUGGGGAAAUAUACGAAUGCAACCGCUCGAAUUGGGUCAAUUGUGAGUUAAAUCAGUCACUCUGAGGGGGGCAAGAGCCAUUUAUGCUUCAGGGAGAAGGUGGAAUCAGAGAUUCUUUUUUUUUUUCUAAAGUGGCCAAGAGACGACGCAGGCGUUUAAAUUCAACAGAUAAAUAAUUAAAAGUGUUCUCAAAUGCAUU